rnacentral:rRNA from 1 species
GUGCCAGCCGCCGCGGUAAUACAGAGGCCUCGAGCGUUAGGCGGAAUCACUGGGCUUAAAGCGUGUGUAGGUGGAUGCCUAAGUACCUUGUGAAAUCCCACGGCUUAACCGUGGAACUGCUGGGUAUACUGGGUGUCUUGAGCCACUCAGGGGCUACCGGAACAAGCGGUGGAGCGGUGAAAUGCGUAGAUAUCGCUUGGAACGCCAAUGGUGAAAACAGGUAGCUGGGGGUGUGCUGACACUGAGACACGAAAGCCAGGGGAGCAAACGGGAUUAGAAACCCCCGUAGUCC